rnacentral:rRNA from 1 species
UGGGGAAUAUUGCACAAUGGGCGCAAGCCUGAUGCAGCAACGCCGCGUGAGGGACGACGGCCUUCGGGUUGUAAACCUCUUUUAGUAGGGAAGAAGCGAAAGUGACGGUACCUGCAGAAAAAGCACCGGCUAACUACGUGCCAGCAGCCGCGGUAAUACGUAGGGUGCGAGCGUUGUCCGGAAUUAUUGGGCGUAAAGAGCUCGUAGGCGGUCUGUCGCGUCUGCUGUGAAAACCCGAGGCUCAACCUCGGGCCUGCAGUGGGUACGGGCAGACUAGAUGCGGUAGGGGAGAAUGGAAUUCCUGGUGUAGCGGUGGAAUGCGCAGAUAUCAGGAGGAACACCGAUGGCGAAGGCAGUUCUCUGGGCCGUAACUGACGCUGAGGAGCGAAAGCGUGGGGAGCGAACAGGAUUAGAUACCCUGGUAGUCCACGCCGUAAAACGUUGGGCGCUAGAUGUGGGGGACCAUUCCACGGUUUCCGUGUCGCAGCUAACGCAUUAAGCGCCCCGCCUGGGGAGUACGGCCGCAAGGCUAAAACUCAAAUGAAUUGACGGGGUCAUAGCUGUUUCCU